CAGUAGCCGCGGUAAUACGUAGGGGGCAAGCGUUAUCCGGAAUUAUUGGGCGUAAAGAGUGCGUAGGUGGUUACCUAAGCGCAAGGUUUAAAUUAGAGGCUCAACCUCUACAUGCCUUGCGAACUGGGCUACUUGAGUGCAGGAGGGGAAAGCGGAAUUCCUAGUGUAGCGGUGAAAUGCGUAGAUAUUAGGAGGAACACCGGCGGCGAAGGCGGCUUUCUGGACUGUAACUGACACUGAGGCACGAAAGCGUGGGUAGCAAACAGGAUUAGAUACCCCUGUAGUCCCUGUCUCUUAUACC
rnacentral:rRNA from 1 species